GCGCCCGUAGCUCAAUUGGAUAGAGCAUCUGACUACGGAUCAGAAGGUUUGCAGUUCGACUCUGCACGGGCGCA
rnacentral:tRNA from 1 species